rnacentral:misc_RNA from 1 species
GGUAUGUGAUAUUCUUUUUUGAUUUUAGGUGUGGACUUUCACACAAUUCUUCUGAAAAGAGAUCUUCUCAGGACUCUCAAGUCUCAAUUGAUUUUUUUUUUUUAAUGCUUUGAGGAACAAAGAUCCUAAUUUUGACAUGUUGUGCUAAUAUUGCAUGGACUCUGAACUGAGUUACCAUGUACAAUGUGGUAUUUAGAGCCUGG